ACGUAGGGGGCGAGCGUUAUCCGGAUUCAUUGGGCGUAAAGCGCGCGUAGGCGGCCGCUCAAGCGGGACCUCUAAUCCCGGGGCUCAACCCCGGGCCGGGUCCCGAACUGGGCGGCUCGAGUCAGGUAGAGGCAGGCGGAAUUCCCGGUGUAGCGGUGAAAUGCGCAGAUAUCGGGAAGAACACCGAUGGCGAAGGCAGCCUGCUGGGCCUUGACUGACGCUGAGGCGCGAAAGCCGGGGGAGCGAACAG
rnacentral:rRNA from 1 species